AAGGCGUAUAAGGUAGGCUUCCACUAUAAUGCCUUACUGAUGAGUCCAGUAGUGGAAGCCGGGACGAAACGCCAA
rnacentral:hammerhead_ribozyme from 15 species